rnacentral:rRNA from 1 species
AGAGUUUGAUCAUGGCUCAGAUUGAACGCUGGCGGUAGGCCUAACACAUGCAAGUCGAACGGUAACAGGAAGCAGCUUGCUGCUUUGCUGACGAGUGGCGGACGGGUGAGUAAUGUCUGGGAAACUGCCUGAUGGAGGGGGAUAACUACUGGAAACGGUAGCUAAUACCGCAUAACGUCGCAAGACCAAAGAGGGGGACCUUCGGGCCUCUUGCCAUCGGAUGUGCCCAGAUGGGAUUAGCUUGUUGGUGGGGUAACGGCUCACCAAGGCGACGAUCCCUAGCUGGUCUGAGAGGAUGACCAGCCACACUGGAACUGAGACACGGUCCAGACUCCUACGGGAGGCAGCAGUGGGGAAUAUUGCACAAUGGGCGCAAGCCUGAUGCAGCCAUGCCGCGUGUAUGAAGAAGGCCUUCGGGUUGUAAAGUACUUUCAGCGGGGAGGAAGGGAGUAAAGUUAAUACCUUUGCUCAUUGACGUUACCCGCAGAAGAAGCACCGGCUAACUCCGUGCCAGCAGCCGCGGUAAUACGGAGGGUGCAAGCGUUAAUCGGAAUUACUGGGCGUAAAGCGCACGCAGGCGGUUUGUUAAGUCAGAUGUGAAAUCCCCGGGCUCAACCUGGGAACUGCAUCUGAUACUGGCAAGCUUGAGUCUCGUAGAGGGGGGUAGAAUUCCAGGUGUAGCGGUGAAAUGCGUAGAGAUCUGGAGGAAUACCGGUGGCGAAGGCGGCCCCCUGGACGAAGACUGACGCUCAGGUGCGAAAGCGUGGGGAGCAAACAGGAUUAGAUACCCUGGUAGUCCACGCCGUAAACGAUGUCGACUUGGAGGUUGUGCCCUUGAGGCGUGGCUUCCGGAGCUAACGCGUUAAGUCGACCGCCUGGGGAGUACGGCCGCAAGGUUAAAACUCAAAUGAAUUGACGGGGGCCCGCACAAGCGGUGGAGCAUGUGGUUUAAUUCGAUGCAACGCGAAGAACCUUACCUGGUCUUGACAUCCACGGAAGUUUUCAGAGAUGAGAUUGGUGCCUUCGGGAACUGUGAGACAGGUGCUGCAUGGCUGUCGUCAGCUCGUGUUGUGAAAUGUUGGGUUAAGUCCCGCAACGAGCGCAACCCUUAUCCUUUGUUGCCAGCGGUCCGGCCGGGAACUCAAAGGAGACUGCCAGUGAUAAACUGGAGGAAGGUGGGGAUGACGUCAAGUCAUCAUGGCCCUUACGACCAGGGCUACACACGUGCUACAAUGGCGCAUACAAAGAGAAGCGACCUCGCGAGAGCAAGCGGACCUCAUAAAGUGCGUCGUAGUCCGGAUUGGAGUCUGCAACUCGACUCCAUGAAGUCGGAAUCGCUAGUAAUCGUGGAUCAGAAUGCCACGGUGAAUACGUUCCCGGGCCUUGUACACACCGCCCGUCACACCAUGGGAGUGGGUUGCAAAAGAAGUAGGUAGCUUAACCUUCGGGAGGGCGCUUACCACUUUGUGAUUCAUGACUGGGGUGAAGUCGUAACAAGGUAACCGUAGGGGAACCUGCGGUUG